UACGUAGGGAGCAAGCGUUGUCCGGAAUCAUUGGGCGUAAAGCGCGCGUAGGCGGCCCCGUAAGUCCGCUGUGAAAGUCAAAGGCUCAACCUUUGAAAGCCGGUGGAUACUGUGGGGCUAGAGUCCGGAAGAGGCGAGUGGAAUUCCUGGUGUAGCGGUGGAAUGCGCAGAUAUCAGGAGGAACACCAAUAGCGAGGGCAGCUCGCUGGGACGGUACUGACGCUAAGGCGCGAAAGCGUGGGGAGCGAACAGG
rnacentral:rRNA from 1 species